AGUCCAUAAAAGCACGGUUAGGAGCAAACAGCUUUUCAAUUUCCCUGUGUCCUUUCCUAUGGCUGUGGUUGGAGAGACGUAGAGAGAGGCUGCUGCGAAGUCACAAUCCAGCCACACGGCAUUGAUCCUGUCAUGGCUGGUGUGGUUGUGUCCACACGUGACCUGAACAUCCUUCCCACUCAGUACCAAAUACAGUCAAUUCUGUGGCUUGAUGGUGCGUGGACAUAACAUUCAGAUAUCGCCCAUGAUGAGGAAACAGAAGCUGGGAUAUGUGAGUAAACAUUUCCAAGGUCCUGCAGCUAAUCAAUGGUUGACAACUUCUUUCCUCUGCCUAUGUUGCCAUCCAUGUCAUGGUUUGUGUCAAGACUCUAGGAGAAGUCUACCAUCAGCACCACAGCUACUGUGCACAAAUCCAGAAUGCCAGACUGAAGUCAGAAGGAAAGAGAUGAUGCAGCUCAUUGCUGAUGCUGAGAUCCAACGUCCAGUGCCUGAGUACCCCUGGAUUCUGAGCACUAGGGGCUGGACUGUGGAGACCAUCAGUUCAUAACAUCCUGUCCCUGCUCCCUGCUGUAGAUGACUGAGACCAGAAAGAAGAUUGGAAAAAUCUCCCAUGACCAAGGAAAAUUGUGAAAAAUAUUUCUGAUAUUUUGUCUAUGCAUUUUAUUUUUGAGGGUGUUUUUUAUAUUAGUGUGACUAUUUUGUAUUUCCUACCCUGUUGUAAACUUUUUAAAAAUUGCUCUUACAGUUAUUACUAAGUAUAUGAUUUAAAAUCCCUAAUUAGGGUUCUUAAACAAGGGAGAAGCACUCUCAUACCCCUAGAACAAGAUGAACAAAAGAAGGAGGAAAAAUCUUGACCUCCGUAAGAUCCAGGAUGGCACGUGCAAGGCACUGACACAGCAUCUGCCGGCAUCACUGACUCUCCUGGACCCCAGAAGCCCAGUUCCCCAGGCUCUGAAACCCUGCAGCAAUGAAAAGGAAGCACAGGCAAACCAUAAGGAAGAUAAUUUUUCUACUAAAAAAUAAAUAGAAAUGCAUCCUUAGAGGCAGGUUUCAUGAGGACACAGAGAAUCCGGUUUUGUGUGUGCCUGAUUUCGUUUUUCUGUCAAAGAGAUACAAAACAAUCAACUGAGUUAUCUUGAACUUACAAAGAUUAAAAAUAAUCAAUUCCUGUUACUAUUUUCAAUUUUUCCCCCAUUUUACUUCUUUAGGUAUGAAGAAAUGUAGCCUAUUAAAACCUGGAUUAAUAAAAACCUUUCAUUAACUUUUAGAA
rnacentral:lncRNA from 1 species